AUGGAUUUUAGUUGUAUAUUGGUUUAUGUAUUUUUUUCUUAAGUAUACAGUGCACUGUUUGAAAUGUAUUGUUGAGUAUUACUUUGUACAGGUUGAUCACUUUUUUUAGAGUGAAGAAAGAACAAACUUGUUUUUUUGUGUUUUUUAAAGGAAUAUAAAAUAAUGAAGGAUGUAUAAUUGAUGCCAAAUAAGCUUGUUCUUUAGUCACACCAACGUCUGACUUUUCCCUUUAGGCCAGUUCUGUUUUUAAGGUGUACAUGAACGAUGUGACGGUGUAAGAAAUUCCAUAUCCAUAUGUUCCAUUCGCAUUUUGUAUUGGUUCAUGUAUACCAUUUUUAC
rnacentral:lncRNA from 1 species